rnacentral:rRNA from 1 species
GUCUAAAGCCAUACCACCCUGAAUGCACCCGAUCUUGUCUGAUCUCGGAAGCUAAUAAGCAGGGUCAGGCCUGGUUAGUACUUGGAUGGGAGAAAUGGCAUUAAGUAAUAAGUAAUUUUUACU